rnacentral:SRP_RNA from 1 species
GCCAGGCAUGGUGGUGUGUGCCUGUAAUCCCAGCUACUCAGGAGGCUGAGGCAGGAGAAUCACUUGAACCCAGGAAGCAGAGGUUGCAGUGAGCCGAGAUCGCGCCAUUGCACUCCAGCCUGGGUGACAGAGUGAGAUUCUGUCUCAA